CAGCUGCCUCCUCGCCUGUCCUCCGCUCCCUGUUGUCGUCCGUGUCGCCUCUUGGCGAAGCGGCUGAGACUGGAGGGGGAGGACCGAGGAGAGGAGAAGGGCAGGAUGGAUGGAUUGCCUUUCUCCCUCCAGCCCGUGCAUGCCCUCCCUGGGGGGCGGAUGUCUCUGAUCUGAGGAUGAUGGCAAGGGAAUAUGGCUGGUGUUUGAUGAUGCUGGAGCUAGCGUUUAGGAUCCAGGAGGAUGGUAUGCCACUGCGUGGGCUGAGUUAGAAGGCGAAGUCGUUCGCAAUGAAUCCAUGGCAGCUUCGAUCAAGCACCUACUCACAGGCCACUCCUUGACGUGACUGAAGAGAGGCCUUUCCCAGCACUUGCCGAGGAGAGCAGAGCCCUGGAUUUACCUCCUGCACACCUGGGUACCCCAGCACAAGCACCCUGAGAUUCCAAUGACAGAUGGAUCUCUCUCGUGCACACUUGCUCUUUCCCUCUCUGUAUUUUUGUUUUCGGCAUGUUUAAUCUGAAGCGCUGAAGCUUCUCAGAGAGAACCUGAGAGAGAAGGAAGAGAAGGAGGAGGAACCGAGGGAGCGUGAGCAAGAGAGGAGGCAUCCCUGCCUUGUUCUUUCGAAUCACACCGUGGA